rnacentral:rRNA from 1 species
AUUGAACGCUGGCGGCAGGCCUAACACAUGCCAGUCGAGCGGAUGAAGGGAGCUUGCUCCUGGAUUCAGCGGCGGACGGGUGAGUAAUGCCUAGGAAUCUGCCUGGUAGUGGGGGAUAACGUCCGGGAACGGGCGCUAAUACCGCAUACGUCCUGAGGGAGAAAGUGGGGGAUCUUCGGACCUCACGCUAUCAGAUGAGCCUAGGUCGGAUUAGCUAGUUGGUGGGGUAAAGGCCUACCAAGGCGACGAUCCGUAACUGGUCUGAGAGGAUGAUCAGUCGCACUGGAACUGAGACACGGUCCAGACUCCUACGGGAGGCAGCAGUGGGGAAUAUUGGACAAUGGGCGAAAGCCUGAUCCAGCCAUGCCGCGUGUGUGAAGAAGGUCUUCGGAUUGUAAAGCACUUUAAGUUGGGAGGAAGGGCAGUAAGUUAAUACCUUGCUGUUUUGACGUUACCAACAGAAUAAGCACCGGCUAACUUCGUG